rnacentral:rRNA from 1 species
CCAGCAGCUGCGGUAAUUCCAGCUCCAGUAGUGUAUAUCAAAGUUGUUGCGGUUAAAAAGCUCGUAGUUGGAUUUCCCGGGUGAUGAGGGGCGAGAUGUGGUCAUUUGAACUACGGUUGUUCCUUUCCCGGUGGCGGACGUGUGUUUUUAGGAUGCGCGUCCGCAUGUACUUUGAACAAAUUAGAGUGCUCAAGACAGGCGAUAUAUUAUUGCUGUGAAUAGAUUAGCAUGGAAUACGGGUAUAAACUCUCUUCUCGGGAUUGUUGUUUUGACGAGGAGGGGGAAUGAUGGAUAGGGACAGGUGUGGGCAUUGAGAUUGUUACGUCAGAGGUGAAAUUCUUAGAUCGUAGCAGGAUUAGCAGACGCGAAAGCAUUUGUCAAGGAUGUUUUCAUUGAUCAA